rnacentral:lncRNA from 1 species
UUUUUUUUUUUUUUUAAUGUUAUAUUGUUCUUUCUAAAUAUAGGAAGCAACGAAGAAAAAGAGAUUCUCCAAAACAAAGAAGAAAAAGAGACCAAAUCAAGAGGAAAAGGGAAAAAGUUAAGGGCUUUCUUAGCUCUUCCAAAAUCUGGCCUCUCGAAAGGAGUCAAUAAAUUGAUGAAGCGGUUGGAAAAUAUUUCUAGGUUGCUUGGUAAGUUUCUUAUGUUUUAAUCUUGUUUGGUUUAGAGUUUUGUUUUUGUUAACUAAAAACAAAUAUGAAUAUCCACCAAAAUGCAAGGGGAUGAAUCUAGGAAUUUGAUCCUAUUCCUAUUCUUUUCAUUCCAAAAAAUAAAAUUAAAGAAUCUCUUGAUACAUGUUAAAUAGCAAAUAUAUGGUGAUUUUUGGCAUGUUAUUUUAAUUAUGUUAUCGAUAAGAGCUAUUUUUUUUGACGGUUUGCUAAAAAUCCAUAAAAAAAAUUAAAUGUUCAUAUCCAAGAAUUUAGUAAGCUAUUUUUUCCACAACAUUUCAUUCAAUUGCUUGUCAAACUGAAUUCCUUCGUUUGUUGCAUAAAAUCUCUAGAAUUACCAGUCAAUUUGCUGACUUUUGCCGCAUCAAUUUGAUAUGUUACAAUUGCAUUUGAUUUUUGGAGUAUCGAUAAAAAAUAUUUAUUACACAUCAAAUUUAAUUCUUUUGUUUGUUGCACAAAAUCUCUAGAAUUAAAGGUCAAAGUCUUCCUGUAAAUAUUAAAUAUCCUGAUUUUCGCAGCAUGAUAUUUGUAACAUUACAAAUUGCAUUGGAUUUCUGAGUUCCAACCAACCAAUAAAAAAUUCAACCAGAAAAUAUCUAAGAUCAUAUUUAAACAAUAAAUAUGCUAAUUUUUACCACAUUCUUAUUCUCCCUCAUCCUCCCCCCCCCCCCCCCCCCCCCAAAAAAAAUAAAAAAGUACAAUUGUCAAACUCUACAAGUACCAAUUUUUAAGAAGUAAACUAUUUGCCUCAUGUUAUUCAUAUAGUUAACUUGAAGGAUUUAAACCCACAAUUCUUUUAAAGUACAUUUUAACAAAAGUCAAAAAGUAUUCAAUAAAGUUUGUUAAACUAUGUGGCUAGCAAAUAAAAAUACAGCUGGAGAGUAUGUAUAUCAUUACUCCAACAACAAAUAAUGGACCAUCUCCAUCAAAUAUAAGAAGUCGAAGCUUUUACUUCUCAUGUACUUAGUAUUGGUGAACCAAUUACUACAAAAGAAAUAUAAAUAUAGAGUAUAAAAGCCAAGAAAAUUACCAGAAAGGGGGAAAAAGGCCAAAAGCUUUGCAAAUUAAUCCGACAUUUUUAAAAUCAAAUUAUCCAAUUUUCAAGAUCAUAUUUUUUUCAUUUUCAAGAAUGGAAGCUUUAAUAUCUAACAAUUGGCAUCUAAAGUCUUAAAAUGUUAUUUGUGUUAAAGUUUCCAUAAAAAUUGAUGAACUACGAAAAAAAUGAAGAAAACUACCCAUGUGCUGCUCACUUUUUCUAUGAUUUUUCAAAGCAUGGAUUAACUAAUCUUCACAUGAAAAAGUAUUCAUGUGUGAUCACGAGAAUGAAUUGCAACUUGAAAGCUCUUUAAAAAAAAUUUCUUGUUUUGUUUCUUUCGGGUUGGAUGUUUCGUGUAUUGGUUGAAUGAUUGCAAUGAGAAAGACAACAUAUUGUUACUACUUCAAUAGGCAAAAAAUUUUAAUGGUUUUUAGUGUUUGGAUUUCCAAAUAACAAAAAUGUCAUGUACUUCUAUCCAGAUUAAGGAUUCAAUAAAACUUUAAUCGAAAAGCACCAAAAAUUAAAAAAAGAAAUUCCAUAAGUCGUGUGCUAGUCCAAUGUUCCAUAUAUAAAACCUACUGGUUUUGGAAAAAAAAGAAUCCCACUUCAAGAUAUGGGAAAAAUGCGAAAAUUGCACUUUGAACACGUAAACUAUAAAUAAACUGUCACUUUGGUUCUUAAAUUUUAAUUUUUGACAUUUUACUCUUAAAGUAUGAAAUUCGUCCCGCUUUAGUCCUUAAACGUCAGCUGUGGAUACUUUACCUACUAAAGUAUGAAAUCAUCCCACUUUAGUUCUUAAACUAUGAGUAUCACUUGUGUGUGAGUAUUCCAAUAAUUUGAUAAAUCGAUGGAAUGGAUUGGGGUAAAUUGUUUAAAAUUAAAAUUUAAGGACUUAAGGGAGAUAAUUUCCUAAAGUGUCCAAAUUUGAAAUUUAAGGACUAAAGUAGGAACUUCAAUAAUUUUUGGGUUCAAAGUGAAAUUAGUCAAAGAAAUAUAGAUUAUCUUUUUGUAGCUAACUCUUUGUAUGUCACUAUUAAAUUAAGAGUAAAUCUUAUAUAUAUUGAUCAAUUUCUUUAUUUGUGCAAACUAAACUAGCGUAAUUUAUAUUUUAAGGUUUUUUUGCUUCAAAGUUCAUAUUUUGUUCUCAUGGGAUGUCUUAAUUCAUUUCUGAAAAAUGCGAAAACUAUAGAUUAACUGGAGAUGGUAACACGUACACAGAAUUCCUGCAUGCAUGAAUGAAUACAGUUAAUGUCUUGCUUUAAUCAUGAGGGUAUUUUUGGGGGUUUAAUUAAUUUCUAUAUUAUUAGCAGCAGAGAUGUCCUUUCAAUUGAUAUAAAACCAAUUUGAUAGAGUAAAAAAAGGAAGAGGCCAAUGUGGGAGAAUUCGGCAUUAACCCUUAUAGGAUCUUGAUUCCUCAGUGUCUUGAAUUGUGGGUUUUCCUCAUGGUGCGAGGCAACUAUAUUUUUGUAAGCAAUUAAAUGAUUUCCAAGUCAAAAUUUUUUGUUUAAUUUUAUAACCCAAACUUUUUUUAAGAAAAGAAAGGCAAUUAGUUGAAACUUUUAACUUUUUUUUUUAAUUUUUGAGCAUCAAAAUGUUGAGUUGAUUAAUGGACUCAAUGGUAACUCAAUGUUGACAUUGUUUAAUGAUGAUUGUAUCUAAUUUAGUUUGAUGUUGUGUGAAUGGUCUAAAUCUUCAAUUAUUUGGUGGGGUUGGAAGAACUAUUGAUACAAAACAGAAGUUACAAAAGUUUAAUUACAGGAAUCAUGAACUUUUAGUAUGAUUAGGACACCAAAAACAAUUACUUUUUAUUUUUAACAAAUCAAGGUACAACAUAUUAAAUUGUUACAAUACAAAAUGUCUUCUUCAUUGCAUAGAAUACCAGUCGGCACUGAAAAUGAUUGAAAUCAAAAACCAAUUCAAAAGGACUAAAAAAUUUUGUAUCAGUUAAACAUAAUAUAAGCCUUGCGGUGGAGUAACUCUGACUAUAUUUACCAGUGAUGCAGAAUCAUCAAAUAUCUUUUCUAAUUGACUACUCAUUGAAAGAUUAAUCUUUUCAUCCAAGCUAAUAAUGAGGUACAAUAUAAUACUUGAGAUAUUAGCAUAAUUGAUGGAAUGUUGCUGAGGAGGUCACUGUCUAGCAGAUAAGGUUAAGACUCCGAGAAUUAGAUAUUCUUGAUUCAGAUUUUCAUGUCCCCUCACUACAUCUUUUUCAUUUACAUUUUUACUAUUCACAUCCUUUUCUCAUGAUUUAUACUUGGACAUUUAUCAGUUUACAAUGAUGAAGAUGAGGAAAUUGAAAAUGAAAUGGAGAUAGGGUUGCCAACAGAUGUGAAGCAUGUUACACAUAUAGGGUGGGAUGGAUCCACCACAAUCAACCCUAUCAAAGGAUGGGAAAAUCUGGAAGCUCCUGAAAUUCUAUCUUUACCAUCUAUUUCUCUAAAACAGUUUGAACUUGCUAUGGAAGCCCAAGCUGGUGCACCUAUUAGUACUGUUGGUAGCACAAACAUGAAAUAGAAUAUUAUCAAUUGCAAAAGAGAUGGAGAAGAAAGAAGGAUCCAUUAUGGUUGUUUGCUUAUAUUAGUUAGUGUUUUCAUUCAUGAUUGUAUGAAAGUUGGAGAAGAAGCAAACUUUAUCAGUGAUAGGAGAAAAUGAUGCUAGUCAUAAUGAUGAUGGUAGUUGAUUCAUUUCAGAGAUGCUCAGUUUUUAAAGAAUUUCUCAAGGAUUUCAAAUAUUCUCUCUCUCUCUGGGUGGUGGAUAUCCUUGCUUAGAAGAAAUUAGCUUGGAAUCAUUUUACAUAAUUCUUUGUUUCUAUUGUUGUUUUCUGGAAUUGAUUUUUUUUUUUUUUGUUUGAUUAUGAGGUCUGUCAGUUCUUGUAGAAGAAAGCACAAUAUUUUUGUUUUGCUGGAGAAAAAUGUGGUAGUGCUCAAGAUAGUACCAGAAUAGUAUUUGUACUAGAAUCAAAUUUUGCAAUGCCCUAGAAUAAGUGAAAUUGUAAACAUGUAAGAUUUUGAGAAUUGCAACUACAUUAGCAGUUUGUCACCCAUUGCCUUUUGUUGUGCAUAGUCUCCACCUUCACUAGGCUUCAGUUGCAUAUUGCAUCUCUUCACAAAUCACAAACACAAUGAUAGCCCCUUUGAUGGAAGCAAUCAAAAUCUAACAUUCUAAUUCUUUUAUUUCUUCAUUCGACUUGUAAAACACUCAUCUACCAGAUAAAGGUUGAAAUUCCAAACAUUAGAAGUCUUGAGUUCAAAUUUUUCUUCAUCCUUUGACUUCUUAAAUCCCACAUCUCUCCUAUUAAAAACUAAGAAAAAAUACGCAUCUACCAUAUAAUCUAAAUUUUCGUUUUAGCUUUAUGUACUUACAAAAGUAUGAGAAAGCAGACUCCAUAUGUAAAAGGCUGAGAUUUUCAUGGUAUUGGAAAUUCUAUUACAACUCUAUCCAAAACAACAAGCAACAAGAUGAAAAUUAAGCACAAAACAAGAUUGUUUGCUAGAACCAAUACAAGAUAUAGAAAUAUGUAUAUUUGGAGAUGUACAACUGCCAUAAAAGUUACAAUUUGCUCUUCCUAAAACUAGAAGAUAGAUUUUAAUAAAGGAAAGGCUAGUGCUUUGAUGCAUUUGAUGAUUUGUAUCAUUAACACAAAUACAAGGUAUUGAUCUACAAUGUUGUGAUGUAAGUUUAGCAUGAAUGAUGUGGAUUUUGCCCUUGCUUUUUUUUUUUCCCUUAAUAAUGAUAAAUGAUAAGGGUAAAGUGUGACACUUUUUGGUGGUAAACUUUUUCAAAGUCUUAUUUCACCCACUAUACUAAUAUUUUUUUAAAAUUUUUUUUUUUUGUUUCAAAUGAGUUACUAAGCUCCUAAUGAAAGAAUUAGAAUUCACUGCAUGUAAGCUUCACCCUACAUUAUGUAGGGGCAUAUUCAUCAAUUUGCUCUCAAACAAUAAAUUAAGUGGACAAAAGGAGAAGUUGAAAAGUUCAGUUAAUUGUUGUACACCUUUUUGGAAAUUUUUUUGGAAACUAAGGAAGAUAUUCUUUAGAAACAGAAAGAUGCAAUAUAGAUGAUUUUUGCAUUCUUAAGUUUUUUAAACAAAUAGUAGGAAUAUUUUAGCAAGAAAAUCAUUGGAUUUAUAGUUUGAAGGAAAAAAUAAGAGAAUGAAAUACCACAAAAAUACACAGCAAAACCUUUAGGGAUCUAUAUUGAUGAACUAGAAAAGAAGAAUAAAUAAGAAUCAAGCGAAAGAAACUUCAAAGAAAUUUAUUUUAUAAAUCUUCUUUACCCACUCACCAAUGUAGUAUACAUAGGUUGUGCUGUGACUAAUUUGUUGUAUUUCUUUCUCUCUUUUAAUAUUUUGUUUUUUUCUUUUGACAGCUUUGAAUACUAAACGAUCUGAAAACCUUUCAACCGGCAAUUACUACAUUCCCAUCACACAACAAAUCGCUGUUCGUGUGGUGCAAAGUCAAUUUUCAUGAGUUUCUCCAUCAAAAUUUGUAUAUUGAUAAGAAUUUUGUAAUUGAAAAAUGGAUAAGUGCUCAAUCAAUUUGUGAGAUAUAUAAUUUUCAUUAACUCCUGUAUAUAUUAAAAAAUUACAGUUUGGUUGAUACCAAAUUAAUAAUUAAUAAUUAAAAUAUUACAAUUUCCAUAUUAAUAAUUAAAAAAAAUGAACUACACUCCUCUCCAUUGCAUUGAAGAGAAUGUCUCUCCAUUGCAUCUCAAUAAACUUAAUUUGGAAAUUAUUUUUAAAAAUUAACACCGUCUUAAUAUAUUUGAUCACUUGUAUUGACAAAUCAUGACAAAUCUCAUUACAACUUUGACCCUCUUUCACCGUUCAAAUGUUUGUUCAAAUGUUUCGUGUAAGUUGAAUGUCAAAAUAUUCUCAAAAGAAUAUCAUUUUUUUAUGUAUUAAUCUAGAGAUCAAAAGAAAAAAUAAUGACACUAUUGGGUGAUUUUAUAAAGUCACGAUAACUUAGGUAUACACAAAUAGAGAGGAUCCUAAGCCCAAAAAGAUACUCUCUUGUACAAAGAUAAGCUUUGAAUGAAUAUCAAGCUGACCUCCUUCAGUUUGCCAACUGAGGAAGAAAUUCAAACACCCUCCUUGAUGCAUGUUACCAUAGUAGUAAUGCUGCCAUUGUAGCUACCACAUAAUACAUACAAUACUAAAGACAAAAUAAUGCGAAAACUAACAUGUAAAUAAUUUCCUCUUCAUGGGCAAUAAGUCAAACACUCCUUAAUUCUGUUGAAAUACUGGAGUAUAUAAACCGACAAAAUCUUCAUCUUCAAAGAAGACAGAAAAAUUACACAUGUAUAAUGGUACAAUUAUCUUAAGAAAAUUAGGGAUAGAUUUCAGACUAUAUUUUCUUCCGUAUAUGGACUUGAAGUUUGACAGUUUGUUCCCAAGAGAGCGGACUUCUCAAAUUAGGGAAUCCAUUAUCCUACUCAUACUCUUAAAUUGGCCUAGUUGGUAAGCCAAAAUCCUAAAAGGAUUAGUCAAGUGUUCCAACAAAACAACAAGCAAGUCCUUGGCAAUCCUCCAAAUGAUGAUUUCAGGACUAGAUUACACAAAAUCCUGUGGAGGGCUCGUUGUAGGGGACUAGGAGUAGCAGGUCGAUAUACUUGGAGGUAAUAGCAUUUCUAUGGAACUAGCUCAACUUUAGGGGCCUGCAUGAAGAGAUACUGCAGAAGACAAAUAUUUAAGAUAUUUUCCAACUGAGAGAACUAGUAGUAUCAGAAAAUUAUAAUUCGUUCUUCUUACCUCAAAAGACUUGCCCAAUUUUUCAAACUCAAGCAUGCUGAGAGCCACUUCACAGCUUUGUGAAACAAUAGGCUCAGGAUCCUUAGCAAACUCCUCAAGAAGUGAAAGGCAUUCAUCAUCUGUAAAGAGCAAUGGAAAGGACAGCUGAAAUUUAUAGAAAAAGAGAAUAAUACAGGACAAAAGGCAUAGAGAUCAUAAGUAGGCAAUCAGAUUACACAAAACCAUUUCAAGCUUUUUGUGAAAUUAAACAUAGUUCUAUUCAUUCUAUCUUUGGCGACCUACGUUUCCCGGACUCAGGCAUGGGAGACCCUCAACAUGGCUACUCUUAGUGCAAAAUGAAGACUGGCUAGGGCAAGGAAAUGUGAAGAUUCCAGCUAACAUAGUUGCUAACUACUUAGGGCCUGUAAUCAAAUGAUUCUAAAUACCAGAUUUUAGCUUUUGAUUUCAAAAGAGGUUCCCCUUUCAUUGAAUUUUUUUUCCCUUAAAUUUUUCUGUAAAGGAUAUGGAGAGGUACUCAAUUGAAAUAAUGGUGCAUAGGUUGGUUGCUUAAAAAGUUGAGUUUGAUACUAUGGUGGUAAUCAUGCCUUUUCGUGCAGGGGGGAAAAGUUCUUGGACACAAAAUGGAGGAAAGUAAAUAAGGAAAAUGCUUCAAAGGGAAAACUAAUAAUAAAACUGGAACAAAGAAAAUAAACGAGAAAAAAAGGUGACAAGCAAUGGUCAAAAUGUGUGUCUAAGAAUAUUCAAUAUUUAUGAGAAGAUCCACCUUAGCUUUCAUAUCACCCAGCUUUGUUCAUUGCUUUGCAUUGCUACGUAAAAAGAAAAAAAAAAGAAAAAAGGAAAAAAAGGCAUUGCCCAUUGCUUACGCACAAAGAUCUGGUAGACAGCUAACAAAGUAGUGCAGUUUCAGCUCUGAUCUUGUCAAGUGAAAGACACACAGCAUUGGAGAAAGAAAAUAGGCUGUGUAAAGCAAUGUCGAGUUAUUGUUGGUAUUCUUUUUCCCCGUCAGUUGACAGCAGAGAAAAACUAGGUCCAUAUUAUGUAGAGGACAAUAUUGUCCUUUAAGAACUAAAAAAGAUCAACAAAUUCCAAGACAAAUGGGUCUCCUUACAGUUUGUGGCUAGGUUAACCUUUUCCUCAGUCUCGUGGCCAACUAGGAAAAUUGAUGGAAUUUAACAUCAUCUACAUGUAUAAUUCUGAAGAUAUAACAUAAUUUCAGUGUAAUUGGUGCACUAAACACAAUUUCAAUGUAUCAAAUACAAAAGUUUGAAAAGCAUAAAUAAAUUAACUCAUCUUCAAACAGACAUUUUCUUCUUUAGAAUGAAUAUUAUGGAUUUCCACAUCUUUAAUUCCUUUUCUUCUAGCUUUUUCCUUUUCUUUUUCUUUUCCCUUUUUGUGGUCAUGGGUAUGUUUAGGGACAUCCUCAGCAAAUGUAUGAAAUGAAGCAUAGACAAUGAAAAAGUUCAGCAACAGUCCAGUUUCUAUCGCUACAAUGAUCUCACUAGCUGAUGGAUUAAUCAUUAUCAAGUACCAUCAAUGCAAAUGCAUAUACUAAUUUGAGCUUAAAUUUCAUUUAAAAAAAAACACGCAUCACAAAGCCAGCUUCACUGCAUUGAGCAAGAUCAGCAUGAUUCUAGCAAAUUUGGCCAACUAAAGGCUUUAAAAGUUUCAGGUGUACAGAGGUGGCCAAACCUGCAAUAGAACCAAGAGCUUCAGCAGCUUCAUGUCUAACCAUUGGAUGUUCAUUUGUAUCUCUAAGUGUUCUCGACAGUGCAUCUGAAGCCCUUUUAUUUUGUAAUUGGCCCAAAACAUAAGCAACCUACAGAACAAAUCAAACAAAAUUGACGGCCGAAAUAGAUUGACAAGAGACAAGAAAGCCAUUUAAACAUGAAUUAAAGCCCAAAUCAAUUAGUUAGAUUGCUGAGGGAAGGUUGGAUGACUUCCUUCUACCUCUUUCCUUUUUUUUAUUAGAGAAAAAAAAAAAAGAAAGAAAAUUCACAUUGUUCCACUAUAGCAACAGCAUCAAUAAAAUUGCUCAGAUAUAUAAUCUCAUUCAUUCACAUUGUACCAAUUAUAGCAGAUCAUAUCCUAGGAUUCAAAAUUCUAGAACAGUAUCAAAUACAAUGUUGAAGAUGACAACGAAGAAAAAAAUAAGGAACCACUAAGAAAUUUAAUAAAUAUAUACAUAUGAAGUGAUAUCCAUUCUUUUGUGUUCCUGGUGGUACCUGUGUCAGACAGAACCUUCACCAGUGAAAUAUUUGUGUCAAGCACAAGAGUGGGUUUCUUUUUGGCACACUGCACAAUUCCCUAAUUAGUUGAAGGUACAAUUCCUCUAAUUUAGAGUAAAAGGCAACUCCUCCAAUUCAAAGCUAAAAAAAAUGAAACUGCUAGUAACUAAAUCUCUUGGGUCAGCUGACACUUCCGGCUUGCACAAUUUGAUUGUAGCCACAUGAUAUCGUUUAGAGAAGGAUAUCCAAUCAGUAUUCAGGAUUUUGGAAACUCAAACCUUGUAACAGUAGGUUUCAUAAUCCUCUUCACCGUAGUAUGUUGAUGAAGUUAAUCACUAAUUCACAGCUGGCAAUUGAGCUAAAAAGCAGACAACUUGAACACAUAACCAGUGCAACAAAUAAAAGUAUAAAACAUCCCAAGCAAUCUAUUUUGUUUACGUCUAUGGUCAACCAAAAGGCCUAAGAGAAACUUUGCUUGACAGAUUGCAUAACUAAGUACAACAAUGGUUGAAGGCACACUUAGAUAUUAAUGCAAAAAGCUUCUUGAUAUCUGCUUUUUGACCAGGGUUGGUAUGUAUGGGUAUAGUAUAUUCAGAUGCUUAAAAAAGUUGCUAAAUUAUAUUAGGGCAUAUUUGUUUGUAUCAAUCUUAGACUCUACCCAAACCCAAGUCUGUAGCUAGUAUCAUGCCAAUUUUCAAAAACCCUGAUGUUUUUGCAAAACAUGGUGAGCACAAUUUCUCUUUUAAGUAACAAUCAGAUUGUUAUUUUCUUUUCCUUUAUAUUUGUGUGUGUGUGUGUGUGUGUGUGUGUGUGUGAGAGAGAGAGAGAGAGAGAGAGAGAGAGAGGGAGAGGGAGAGACACACAAAGGACAGAUCAACAACAGCCACCACUCUCAUUCAAAAAUUGGACCAAGUUCUCUCACUACAAAUAACUGCUUCGAGAUAUAAAUAAAGAACACACUUGUAGCCUAGGUUACAUAUGUUUUAAGACCAUAUUCUUCGAUAAUGAUAAAUACAAAAGUUAUUAAUCUGAUAGACACAUCUGAAAUGGAAGAUGAAAUGAGUUUACAAAGGAAAAAAUCAAAAGCAACCAAGCACCUCUAGAACGGUUGAUACCAUUCUAAAUUCAGUUAAGUUAAACAAGCUGCAUAGUAUAGCAUUUUCUAAUUUCAGAACUAAAUUUACAAAAGGCAAGUUGCCAAAAAAAAAAUUAAAGAGGAUCUCAUACAGUAGGAAAUUGACAUUCAACAUAAUCAGGAGAUCACAUACAGAUGGCUUGAUUAGUCAUAAAGCUAUGGCUUUCUUUCUACCGGACAAGGUCUAUUUACCCCUCUACCAAGUUAAACUUUGGGAAAAACAUCCAAACAGACAACAGGAAAAAUAAUUUUCUGCACUUCAACUGCAAAAAUGAACUGCAACUUGAGAGUACAUAAAAUACAACUAAACAAGAAAGGAGAUUGCAGACAUUAAGCUAAAUGUUGAAGUCCAAAUUAUCAUGGAAGUAUCACAAAUGAUAGUUACCUAGAUAAGACCAGCUGUCCCUAAUAUAUAUGAAAUUCAGGAUUGGAGUAAACAAGAAAGCAGAUAAGGCCAUAGUCAUGCACUACAAUUUAAUUCCAGUUGUGUCUAGCAUCGGAGGUAGAAACGAACAGAAACAAAUCUAUAGUUGUAGAUGCAUCAAAUUGGAAAAAAGUUACUAUAGAUAUCAAAAUCGACCUCAUGUCGUAGGAGAGCACUCCUCGAACCUAAGGAUUCAAUAAUUGCCGUGACAGCUUCCUCUCCACCAUUGUUACGAAGAGCAAAAAGUGCAGCAUACCGCUCAUACAUGCCCUUUUUUUCAUCUAACAAUGUAUCCCUGGAAGGCAAUGACAAAAAUAUCAAGCAACAAACUUCAAGAAAGCUAGCAUCUUGUCAUAUUGAUAAAUCGCAGACCUUAGCUCCUGUACGGAAGAACAAGAAGCAGGAGCAGCUGGGUCAACUGAUAAAAAUGGUGAUGGUUCUGCUGAAGAUGGAUCAACACUUCCAUGGUCCCGCAGCUCUUCAAUGCGGCUCAGAGCCAGUUCACAUGUUUCCCGGACCUCUUGAGCUGGAUCUGAAAUCAGACUUUUCUUCAAAAGUGGGAUGUUCCUUUCUAAAGCAAUUGCGCCAAGGGCUUCUGCAGCCUACAAAUACAUAUUGGACAAGAACGAGUCACCAGCAAUAACAUCAUCAAAUUAAAAAGGUCUCAUAGCUCUAUACCUCAUGCCGAACAAUGGGAUGCAGCGAAAGAUCACUCAAAACUAAUUCCAGGGCAGGAAUAGCUUCACCAUCUUGCAUUUGCCCCAAUGCGAAAGCAGCCUCGUGUGCCAAUAGAUUAGAAGAGUCCCUUGUUGCUAAACAGCAGUGAACAAGAAUAGUCUUAUAUCAGAUAUUGCUAAGUCUAGUAACUCAAAAGAUAUCAGAACAAAAUCCCUGACUGAAAUAUGAUACAAGGGAAAGCUACAGUCUUUUAGCACAUUUUGGCCCAGAAAGAGGAGAAAAAUCAAAGCAAAAUGGAAGCGUAAAUUCGGCAUGGAUAUCAAUUAAGACCUUGUCAAAAAAAUAAAAAAUUUAUUUCUAAAGCACAAGACUGCAAAAUACCAUGCAAAAUGAAGAACUUAGACAUGUAGAUUCAAGGAUAAUUAAACCUGUAUUCAGACCUUUAAUAUUCCAAAUAAAUUUUUAAAAAGUUCAAAUUUUACACCAAAAUUGACCAAGCAGACAGGAAAUUUAGGCAAGUACAUGUCUUAAGAACUCGUCCCAAAAAAAAAAAAUUAACUAACUUUUACUACUCAACAAGCAAACUGAAGAAAUAGCUAUGUAAAGUCAAGGACAAUUCAACUUUAUUCAAACCCUUAAUAGUAUUUCACAUCAAAUUGAAAACAAUUAUGAAAUUUACACCAAAAUUCAGCAAGCAGCCAAGAAGUAUAAAGACAGGGUACCAAGUAUAAGAGCGUCGCGCGGUGUCGGGCCGCGGAGGUUGCGAAGAGAGAAGAGAGCUCUAAACCGCUCUGAAAUGGGUUUGUUAUGAUCUAACAACAGGUCACAUAGGAACUUCUCCAUCUCGACAGAAACUUCCAUGGAUGGAGGGAUUUGGGUGGAAUUGGUAUUCAAAAAUCCUCAAUCCAAACCCCCCCCGGUGGUUGUUUGGGAAAUUAAGGAGAGAUUUGGAUUUUCCGAUUGAGAUGUUGGCCACGGCCGGUACCUUCGCCGGAGAAAAGCAGAAGAAACAGACGGCGAUAUUAAACUAUAGGGCUCUGCGAGGGAUGAAGCUCGGAAAAUUAAAUGUCCGAUUAUUGACCUCUAAACUUUGAGGUAUUUAAAUUUUUACCCCAGGAAUUUGUUUUAAUUGGUAAUUACUACUUCAUCUUAAGAUAAUUCUAAACCAAACAUGUAUUUGAAAAACAACCAAUUUCAAUUCUAUUCAUUCCAAGCGAUGUGGCAUGUAUAUGGCUAAUUGCUUAGAAUAUAUGUAAAAAAAAAAAAAAAAAAGGGAUAAUUGCAGAAACCUCCCCUGAGUUUUAUGGUAAUAGCAUUGACCUCCCCUAUGAAGUUUAAAAUAGCAAUCACCUCCCUAAAAAAAGACUGACACAAUUUAAUACAUUCUUCAUUGUCAAUUUACUAAAAUACCCUCACUAAAAUUUAAUUUUACCAAAGAAUGUGAUGACUUAAACCUAGUAAAACGUUUGUCAUUUUGAUAAUUGUAGUUUACACUAAAUUAACUAUUUAUGCAUAGUUUAACUAAAUAACUAAAUAACUAAUAAUCUAAUUAAUUAAUUAACUAAUUAUCUGUUGACAUAAAUAACUAAUUAACUUUAGAUGCUUAACUAAUUAUCUAAUUAGUUAAUUAACUUCUUAAUUAACUAACUAACUAACUAACUCAAGUUGCAGUCUCCGUCCAGCUUUGAUUAAGGGUAUGCUUUAGUGUGAGACUAGUUUUAGAGGCAAGAACAGGGCGGCAAUUGCUGAGGAAGAUGGCGCCAUGAAUUGGCGCCAAUUUGUUACAAGUUGCUCUUGAGGUGACAAGCUGCCUACUUGCAGCAUAAGAGAGUGUGCCUUGCAGAUAAAAUUCUGACCAUUGAGAGAAGGAAACAUAAGAGAAGAAAAUUGGAACUCUGGCUUAGUUCAUGGGAGGCUGAUUGUCCGUGAGAGAUAAACAACAUAUGUGACCGUGAGCUAGGAACCAAUUUUGAGCAUCAACUGCAGUUAAUUUGCAAGAACUGAAGUGGAGUAGGUAAAUAAAUUUGUACUUUAGCUCUUGUAUGAUCAUGUUUUUGAAUACUGAGUGCAGUGAAUGCAUGUUUUUUGUUCCAUCAUGAGUUGAAUGUGUUAGUAAUGAUCAGAAACAAAUGUGAUGUUAUUGUCAGUAAUGAUCAAUGCCAAAUAUGAUGAUAUUGUAGCUGGUUUUAGACGAGCUGUUGUACUCUGCUAUUCAUGUUAUUUUAGACAUGUUUAUCAAUGGAUGUUUUGAUCAUGAUCUAUUUUUCGAUCUUUUAAGACUUGUAUCAACUCAGUGAAUGCUACAAUAGUCUUGAGUUCAUGACUAGUCAUCAGUGUAGACAUAAGUGUCUAAACUAGAUACAGUUGUCUGCUAUUUUCUACUUACAUUGCUAAGUUUCUGUCACUUUUGAAACCUAGGAUGGCUCUUUUUUCUACUUAUGAUAUGGUUGUUCACUAUGAGGAGAAACAAGUGAGAAAUCCAAAUAUCGAUCCAAUUGGUUACUGUUACCUUAAUCUACUAUUUGAUGUUGCUGAGAAGGUGUUCGGUGAAGUCCCUGGGCAUCUGAAUAAGUUAAUACAUAUGAGGUGUCAGAUUCCUAAGACAGAUCGUAUGUUUGAUAUUACAGAUGAUGAUAGUGUACGUGAAAUGUUUGAAAUGCAUAAGUCUGGAAGAAUGAUUAAUGUGCAUGUGCAGGAUAUGGAUGUUAUUCCAUCUUAUAAAGCUAAUCAGAUAAAUGAAAAUGGUCAUAACACUGAUUUGAACUUAAGAGAAAAAGGAAAGGACAAGGUAUGUGUUGUUGCCAUUGAUGAUUCUGAGGGUGAAUAUAGUGAUUCCAGCUCUGAUUCAAGCUGGCUGCACAGCAUGGAUAGUGACAAUGAGAAAGAUUUAGAUGUUCAUAGCGAUAGUGAUGAAUCUGACAUGUCAUUUUCUGAUUUUGAUGACAAUGAGGAGGGUGCCUUAGUUCCUUAUUCUGAAAAUGAAGAAGAAACUGACCCUGUUCAGCAAGCUUUGAAAUCAAAACUGUGGACGUACAACCCAAAAGUAGAGAUAGAGUUUAAGAAAGGUCAACUAUUUACUAAUGUCGAUGCAUUUAGAGCAGCUUUAAAGGACUAUGUAAUUCAGAAAGGAUUUCCAAUUAUGAGACUAAAGAAUGAGAAGAGCAGAGUCACUGCUGUUUGUGGUGUUGAAGGGUGCAAAUGGAGAAUCCAUGCAUCACCAGUUUUAGAUUCCAUGACCUUUAUGAUUAAGACUUAUCAAGGUGAACACACAUGUGUGAUGGACAGGAAGAACACAGAAGCUACAGCUGACUGGAUUGCCAAGAAACUAGUUCCAGUCAUGAGAAUUCACCCCAACAUGUCCACCAAAGGGGUAGAAGCUGAGAUGAUUAAGUAUGGUGUGCAUCCAAGCAAAUGGCAGAUGUAUAGAGCACUAACUAAAGCAAGAAAUGAGAUUGAAGGCAAUCACAUUGAAUCGUACGCCAAAUUGCCAAAGUAUGCAGAGCUGAUCAGGAAAUACAACCCACAAAGUAUCUGCAAAAUACAUUAUGAUAGGCCUACUCUUCUUGUUGAGCCUAGAUUUCUCAGAAUGUUUAUUAGUUUCAAAGCUCAAAGAAGUGGAUUUGUUGAAGGCUGUAGACCUUUUGUUGGUUUUGAUGGAUGUUUUUUAAAAGGUGCUUAUGGUGGUGUGCUUCUCACAGCAGUCACAUUAGAUGCUAACAAUAGCAUUUUUCCUAUUGCAUUUGCUGUGGCUGAAGCUGAAAAUAAAGAAACCUGGAGUUGGUUUUUUCAUUACUUUGAGGAGUUUUUUGGGCCAUUUACUUCAGAAAAUGGUUUUCAUGGUCCUCUAACCUUCAUGAGUGACAGGCAAAAGGUGAGCUUCACAACAGGCCUUGAACAUUAUUCUGAUUCUGUUAUGCAUCCAGAUUCUGGAUUAGUUAUGUACUUGUCAAUGAUUCUGUAUUUUUUAGUGUAACUUGUUUGCAUGUUUUGGUGAUCAUUUCAGGGCUUGAAUAUAGCUUAUGAAGAGAGAGUGCCUGUUGCUAGUGGAAGACAUUGCUGUAGGCAUAUCUGCAGUAAUUUUAAAGCUCAAUUUCCUGGUAUUCUGCUUAGUAACUUGUUCUGGAGAGCAGCAAAAAGCUUUGAUGUUGCAGGACAUAAUGAAGCCAUGGCUAGCAUAAAGGAGUUAAACAUAGAAGCAUGGAAAUACUUGGACAAAAUUCCUAAAACAACAUGGUGCAGAUAUACGUUCAAUACUGGACUAAAAUGUGAUCAUGUCACAAAUAACUGCACUGAGUCCUUCAAUGCAUGGAUAGGUGAGCUAAGAGGGAAGCCUAUCUUGACACUUGUUGAUGGGUUGAGGAAGAAGUUCAUGAAGAAAAUGCAUAAGCGAUAUCAGAAAGGGUGCAUGCUCACCACUGCCAUCACACCAAAGAUGCUUGGUAAACUACAAAAAAUAGGACAAGCAUCAAGACAAUGUGAACUCACUAUGGCUUCUACUGAUGUAUUUGAAGUGGGGGAUAUGAACAGGUCCUACAUAGUCAAUUUAUCAGCUAAAACUUGUGAUUGUGGAGCAUUUCAAAUUUCAGGCCUUCCUUGUAAACAUGCUGCACUAGGGAUUAUCUACAAGAGAGAAAAGCUGGAAUCCUACUGUGAGCAUUGGUUCUCAAGAGAUAAGUACUUAAAGACAUAUUCAAGUAUGAUUCAUCCAAUUCCUGAUGAGAAAAUGUGGCCACCUAUGCCAUAUGUUACACCUGUAACAGUCCUACCUCCUCCAUUAAGAAGAGCUCCAGGUAGACCAAAGACUAAAAGGAGAAGGGAACAUGAUGAAGGACAGUCUGCGUCACAACCAAAAAGACUUUGCUGCAUCAAGUGUGGAAACUGUGGCUCUUUUGGUCACAACAAGAGGUCAUGUCAAGGAGCACCUGUCCAGAAUAAGAAGAAUGGCAAUAGAACUACUGGCCAGCAGGUGUUAUAUGUGCUGAAAUUGCUACUGAAUGUGAUUAUUUUAUAUCAAUUCAUUACUUACAAUUAGCUUGUUCCUUAACAACAGAGCUAUAGAAGAGGCAAACCAGGAAGAGGGACUGCAAACACGGGCCUGUCAGGAGCAACUCUUUGGGUAAGAUUUUUUAACUUAUUUAAGCUUCUGAUUGUAACAUUUAUAGCACAUGCCUUGUCGAAACUAAUAUUACUUGUCAAUGUUUACUGCUAGGAUCAUGUCUCUGGCAAUGUUCCAGUUGUAUACUCAAGCCAAGGCAACAAUCAUUCUCCUUCAACUCAACCUGCACCUGCAACUGUGAAUGUGCAUGUGCAGAAUCAGAGCACAGCAACCACUUCAAAGAAAAAGGUGCAAUUGAAUGAGUGCAUUUUAUGAUAUGCUUUAAUAAAAUGCUUGAGUGUAAUGUUCAACACGUGUGAUUGUACAGAGAGGAAGACCUUUAAGCAAUACUGGAGCAUCUGCUAGAGGGAGCAGCAAGAGAAACUACUCAAAUACUACUCAGAUCACUCAAAUUGUGGAACAAGCUGGUCAUCAGCAAAUUGCUACAUUUCAAGUUGCUACACCUGCAUCUGAAUCCAUCAAUGCAGCUACAACACUGCACUCAACAAAUGUUAGCAACAAUAGCAGUUUUAGUAUGCAAUUCUGAUAUUAUCUCUAUAGUUUUGGCAAGUGAAUGCUUACUGCUGAAAGUAUCAAUUCAGUAGUAUGCCAUUAAUUAUGUACAUAACAGAGCUAUUUUGUACUAUACUGUGGCAGUUUUAGACAUGUUUCUGCCUCUCAUGACAUUGCAAUCCUCACCAUCUGUUCUAAGUGAUUUAAUGGUUCAGAUGGUGUUUUGAACUUUUUGUGGAUUGCUCAGUCAUGCUCUGCUAUUACUUGCCUGUUGUGUUUCACUUUUGUAGUACUUCAAAUUACUGAAUUCUGAUCAGACUUGUUGUAUUAAUGCAUUAAUCUUGUAAUACAAGUAUGCUUCUGUGACUGUUUUGUUUUGUAUUGUUGGUAACAAGUGAUUUUGUAUUGAUGACAGUAGAUAUAAACAGAACUCUGGCUUGCAUUUAUAUUGUAAACUACAAACGCUGCUGCAUACAUGAUGAAGGGAACUUGUUCCUCUCCUAUGUCUUACAUAUAAAUUCGAACUGCAGCUAUAUCUACUUCAUCACUAAUGUACAUUUCUGGAUAGCAUCAGCCUAUUGACUUCACAAUAUGGAUGAAAACAUAAACAGCAACAAGUAUGAGAUUGAUGAUGAAAAGUAUAGCCACUGCACUUGUCAGAACAAUUGGCAUUUCCCUUCUAACAGCCAUAGACCUUUGUUGCUGUAGGUGCGAUUGUAGCACUGAAUUGGUGUCAUAGUUUCUACUGUUAACCUCUUCUUCUUCUGGACCCUCAUACCACUGGAAGUACUUGCAUUUUGCACAAAAAAAGUAGGGUAAACAACAAAAAAGCCCCCUGUGGUUAAGCAAUCAUACAUAAAAGCCCCCUGUGGUUUCAUAUCAUACCAGUCGAUACCCCGUGGUUUGAAUUAACCUGAAAAGUGGACGGAAAUCGGCAAAACAGACGGAGCUGAGUGAAUAGACGAAAAUACCCUUUUGAAGAACGCAGCUUGCAUGUAAAUUUUUUUUUUUUAAGUAAUUUGUUAAAUAGCCUGCCUGAAACCCGCUUGCGGGUUUCCCCCUUAUGUAAAAUGACUAAAAGCUGCGUUUCUGUUCUAUUUAUAUCAAACACAUACUCUCAAACCCUCACCUGAAGGGUGAGGAUGAGAGGGGAGGUUUGCUGGGCAUCCUAGGGCCCUCCGAUGGGCAUGUGCAACUCAACGCAGCUUGCAUGUAAAAAAAAUUUUUUUUUUUAAAGUAAUUUGUUAAAUAGCCUGAAACCCGCUUGCGGGUUUCCCUCUUUUUUUUUUUAUAAAAUAAAUUCUAUGCUAAAAUGACUUAAAACAAAAAUAAAAGACUAAAAGUAAAUAAAAACUAGCAUGAAAAAUAAAAAUAACAGUAAAUAAAAAUACACUAAAAAUUUGGUGUCUACAGUAGUUAAUGAAUAAUCUGGAAACAGAUUGAAUGAAGACUCAGAAGAAACGGAAGCUGGUCUCUUAUUAUUAAAGAGUGAAGGCUAAAAUAGGCAUAUCAGGUGAAAGUUUGUGGUGGAAAUCUGUUUUUCGCAUAUGCACGCGCCUUUGCAGUUCGUUUAAGACACACGCCGAAUAUUUGACGAUUUCCGUCCACUUUUCAGGUUAAUUCAAACCACGGGGUAUCGACUGGUAUGAUAUGAAACCACAAGGGGUUUUUAUGUAUGAUUGCCUAACCACAGGGGGCUUUUUUGUUGUUUACCCAAAAAAGUAUAAUUUGUUGGGGUUGUUUUCAGACUCAGAAAUCUUCAAUGUUGCCUUUCUAUUGCACCAGCAAUAUUUGUUUUGUAUUGUGAAGGAUGUAGGAGAGUUCCAUGAUGUUCUCCUGUGGCUGGAAGAAGCCAUUUUCUGAUUUCUGCAAUAUGACUUGAAACUGCCAAACUGAGUAUCAAGCAAGCUGUGUUUUGAGCUGGAAAAUUGCUGCUGCAUACAUGAGUCCAGAUUCUGGUAUUCAUUUUGCUACUGACCAUCGUUUAUAAGCUAGUGCCUUAGUUACAUCAAUUAGCCGUUAAGUAGCCGUUGGUUUCUCAGCAAAUGAAGUUGUUGCAGGUCAUCAUCUGGAAGCAUGUUGUUGCAUUUAUACCCCCUGAACUUCCUUGUGCUUAAUGAAAAAGCCCCUCCCUUGUUAAUACUACUUGUCAACCAACAUCAGGGCAAAUUUGGAACAAAUUUUUUAUCUCACUUGUACAGCUAAUUUUUUAAUGGGAAUUGAAGCUGCCUGGACUGAUUUUGCAACUUAAUGUUCCUGUUGAGGGGUGCUAUCUGCCAUUUCAGAACUUAGAGGGGAGCUCAGUGCAACUGUCAGUAGUUUCAGGGGAGGUUUCUGCAAUUUUCCCAAAAAAAAAACAUCGCACAAAUGUAUCUCUGGCUAUUUGUCAGAAACUCUGCAAAAAUGUCAGUAGGUCAGCGGCCCACAAUUUUUUUUUGAAUUAGCCUAUCCCCAACCGUGCUGACUGGGCACGUCUGUGGACAGGCGGUCAAAAAAAAAAGGGUAGGGACCUUUGUUUGUCAGCCUUUCUCAGGCUGAUUUCUCAGCCUUUCUGUAUCCUAAAUAAAUUUCAUUACUUUAAUUUUCAAAAUAACUUGAUUAAACUAAAUUUUAACCAUAAUCUUAAAUAUACUUCAUUUCAUUAAUUUUUAAAAUAAAUACAUUAACCUAACCUCACUAUUCAUGUCCCCAGAUGCCUUUUGUAUUGUAAGUAUUCCAUUUGUCUUUUACUUCAAUUUUGUAUUAUUAUUAAACCAUUAUUAAAUGCAUAAUAGUUGUUAAUUAAAGAAGGAUUCAUGUAUUCCAAUAAACAGGAAUUAAUUAUUAUAAUUACUUUGGCUUGGCGUACGUAAUAAUACAACCAAUUCGAAUCAAUAUUUUUUCCGAAACAACAUUUUUGCAUCUUCCAAGAAUCUUCCAUUCUAUAUAUUUUUUUUAACUACAUUUUUACCUCACACGCAGCAUAUAUGAUAUCUUACAAAAGUCCACGACUACAGGAAUUCUUCAUCUAUAUCAAUCUCUUCCCCAAAAUUUUUUUAUUGAUAUUUGCAGAUUAUAACUUUUUUCUUUUUUAUUGUUCUCGUCACUUGUCAUGACAAUUGAUCGUGAGUUAAAAUAUUUACAAUUGGAUAAACCUCUCGAAAUUUUGAUAACAAUUUCUAUUGAUUAAAUUCUAUUUUUGAUUAAAUAGUCCAACUUCUAUUUUUGAUAACAAUUAAAUUAUUGAUUAAAUAAUGUACCUUGAAAGGCAAAGCUUUUGUCCCGUAGCACGACAAGGUCGUACUUUGAUUGACGGGCAGGUUUCUUAUAUUUACUUAAUUAAAGUAUUUUAUGCAUGUAAAAACCAAUAAUUUUAAUAAAUUGUUCCCUCCAUUCUAUAUGAAUUAUAUUAUAUAGUAAUUCUACAUGAAUUAUAUAAUUAUAUAUAUUUAAGAUUAUGGUUAAAAUUUAGUUUAAUCGGUUAUUUUGAAAAUUAAAGUAAUGAAAUUUAUUUAGGAUACAGAAAGGCUGAGAAAUCAGCCUGAGAAAGGCUGACAAACAAAGGCCCCUGGCCCUUUUUUUUUUGGACCGCCUGUCCCUAGUCGUGCCUAGUCAACACAGCUGGGGAGAGGCUAAUUUUAAAAAAAAAUUGUGGGCCGCUGUCCCACUGAUAUUUUUGCAGAGUUUACAAUUCAUUCUGCUGCUGUGCUGAGAAUGAGAAAUAGAGUGUGUCAGAGAUACAUUUGUGCGAUGUUUUUUUUAUAUAUAUAUUCUAAGCAAUUAGCCCAUGUAUAUAGCGAUGUAGUAUGUAUAUAAUAAAUAGUUGUGAUAUUAUUUGUGUCCAAUAUUUGUUUGUCAUUUUAACAUUUUUUUAUUUGAAAUAAAGAAUUUUCAUGUCGGAUUGAGUUGUUUUUAAGCUACUGAAAAUUUUCUAAGGAUCUUAUUGGAUGCAAGACAUUGGAUUCUAGGAAAGAUUCUAAAUCAAUGGAUUUUAAAAGGGAAAAAUCCAUUUUUCAUCCUCAAACUUUGUGACUAAGACACAUUUGGUCCCCAAACUUUUUGACCAGACACAUUGAGUACAUGUAUUAACUAUUUUUUGCCGCAUUUAGUCAAAAAACGGGAAAAUUUUCAAUUUGGACGGUGAAACCCACGUGGCCGUUAACUUAUGCAUCGGGAAUCAAUGCAAGUCAGACUAAAGUCCACACAUUCUCUCUCUAAUGCAAGUCGACACAAAUAGUGGAGUUUUGGUGUUUAAAUCAGUCAACUACAAUAUCAGUUCCUCUUCAAUCAGCAAAAAUUCACUAUUUCUCUGACAUCCACCCUGCAGUUCGCAAAAAGGGAAUUGAGGAGAUGAUAACGAAUUUCCCUGUUGUUCCCAAACAGGGAACUGAGAGAAUUAAGGUGAUGAUCUCGACCAGUUUGUAGGAUGAUAUUCCAAAUAAAUUCAAGAAAGAUAUACCAUGCCUUAGGCUACACCUACUAAACUUGCCGAGUUUGCUACGGAGUGACCCAGUUAAAAUGCGUUCUUGCAAGCUUGACUAACUAAUGGUCCGCCACACAGAAGUAAUAGCAAAUAACAACAUGAUUUUUUAUCUUCACAAGCACCAUAACUAAUAACAGAAAUGAAAAUAGUCACAAAAUCAGCAGGGACUAAUCCUGUUUGUUGUCUUCUGAUGGGUUAGCCAGAAUAUAAGUCAGAUCAAGAGAAUAUUGUGUUGCUCUAAUUACCUGGAUCUCCCAAGGAAAAAACUUAUCAAUCUCACAAAGAGGGGCCAGAGUUCAGUUUUUGCAGUAGAAAAGAUGUUGUUAGUUUCCAAGUUACUCUUAUUUGAAGAUCCAGUGAGAGACUGUGGUGCGGCCUGCAAGGAGACUUUUUCAAAUGGCUUUAACAAAUCGAUGUGUGUCUCACUGGAAAGUGAAGACAGAUGGGAUGACCCGUUCUGCAAAAUCAGAAGAAACAAUAGAUUCCUAACUACUUAACUUCAAAAAUCAAAUUUAAAAAUAAAGCAAAGAAUUCUAAAAACUACAAGUAAAAUUACUGAGUUUACCUCCCUCCUUCCUCUUUUGUUACAUAUAGUUUUGGUAAAAAGGCAAGGAUGAAAAAAAUAAAAAUAAAAAAGAAGAACUCUUACCUCUUCAAAGAGUAGCAUAAGGUUAUUCCAUGCAUCAGGGAAAGGUUCUUUAACAGCUAAACUUCUCGUGCAGUGGUACAAUGCCAGGAAAGCAUCGCCAACAUAUGUUGCUAACAGUGCCAGCUGCAAAGAAACACAAAUUUUAAGAUCGAGGAAAUAUACAGUAGAAUAAGUUUAACAAAUGAAUUUGAAUGUAGAAACUUCUUAAAAAUCAGGAUUAAACAAUUGCUCCAACUGUUGCCAAAGAAUCAAUCUAGAAAUGAAACAAGGUCCGCAGGAUGGUUUCAAAAGUGACUUUUGUUCGCCAAUUCAGGCUUGUCCCCAACACUAGUAGAGAAUUUGGAACUGAAAAUAGUGUAAGAGCAAAAAUGACAGAUACAAAGCUUUUCUAACAUUCUAGAGCUAAACAAAGCCUGUGUUCAUCAUUAAGUAAUAUGAAGAAACCUACUUGAUUAUGGGGAUUCCCGCUAGCUGGCCAUAUCCUGCUUGCUUCUAAGUAGUAAGUAAACGCAACCGACCAUUUAGAAGCAUCCUGUUUCUUACAAAGCUCGCCAUAUCUAGCAAGAUCCCCAAGACAUAUUAGAAAGCGGUGGCAUGCAAACUGACACUUGCUCAAUUUCAUUUGUUCAGUAGAAAAUGAACUGUCUCCUUUGUUAUACAAGAACACCUCCCCUGGCAGACCACAAACUUCUCUGAAAGCCUUGGUCAAAUUGCUAUAGAAGUCAGUCGCUUCAGACAGGAAUGUCUUGAAUCACUCCCAGUACACUCAAAGCUUCGUUGAAUCACUCCCCUACCUCUGCUAAUCUCACGCAGCUUUUCACUCCACAAGCUCGGUGGGAAAGAGAUAAACUUGGAGAGGAAAAGGAGCUCCACCCUUAGACUUUGAGUGUACUUUUAGUCAACAUUUUGUGUCGACUUGCAUUAGAGAGAGAAUGUGUGGACUUUAGUCUGACUUGCAUUGAUUCCCGAUGCAUAAGUUAACGGCCACGUGGGUUUCACCGUCCAAAUUGAAAAUUUUCCCGUUUUUUGACUAAAUGUGGCAAAAAAUAGUUAAUACAUGUACUCAAUGUGUCUGGUCAAAAAGUUUGGGGACCAAAUGUGUCUUAGUCACAAAGUUUGAGGAUGAAAAAUGGAUUUUUCCCGAUUUUAAAAUGAGCUGAUAUGGAAUCCACAAUAAAUCAAAUAACUUAUUUGAUGACAACUUAGGCAAAUAGAAUUUGUAAUUAGUCAAAAGUUUGAGGUAAAAAAUUAAAAACACUAGCUUAAUGACAACUUAGGCAAAUAGAAUUUGUAACUAUCCAAUUUUUUAGAUUUUCCUUCUUUGUUAUGUGUAAACGAUAAUUUUAUGUGUAAAGAUUUUCCUUCUUAAUUAUGUGUAAACGAUAAUUUUGAGGUUUUAUUUGAUUAGUGGGAAAGUUACUUGCCCGAAGUAAACGAAAGCGAACUAAAUGAAAAAAAAAAAUUUACUCACUUUUUUUGUUUUUUUAAAACAGUGGGUAGUAAGUGGUAGUCAUUGAAAACUAGUAGGUGAGACACAUUCUAUGUAUGUGCAUAUUUUUUAGAAAAAAUAAAUAAUGCAAAAAAAAAUACAAAUAACAAAUUAGUUGCACCAAAGAAUUAAUUAUGUGAUUUUCUAUUUUUUUUAUUAUCAAAGUUAGUAGGAAGAUUUUAGAUAAAUAUAAUAAUGGUUGACAAGUAUAGUAGUAACAGUUAUGUAAACAUGUGAAUGUGGAGUUUGAGAUGGUUGUAUAUUAUUUUAUCAUUUAAGGGUAAAAUUGAAAAAAAUAAAUAAUGACAUUUUUUUUAAAAACUAAACCUAUUACUAAUGCAUUAUAUAUAGAAAGAUAUUGCAUGUAACUAACACUUUCCCUCCUGAAAUAUAGAAAAGUGGAGUUUUGGAUUAGCUGUAGAGAUAAAGGCUUCCUCCUCUUUCAUGUUAAGUUCAUCUAAAAAAAAAAUGUAUCUUCAUUUUCAGAAUCUGAAUCUAAGCUCACUACACAAGGUGCAUAGAAUCCUAGGUCUAAAUCAAUGCUUUCAUCAUUAGAGUCUUUUAUGUUUACAAUAUAUAGUUAUAUGUUUAGAAUAUCUCUUCAUGUUGAAUAUUUAUUGCGUUCGCUAAUGUCAUUUUUUUCCUUCCCUGUUCCAUUUUUAAUUGUUUAUAUCCCAAAGGAACCUCACCCAACAACUCAAAUCUUGCUCAAUAAUGACUAGGGUAUGAUUAGUUUCACUUAGAAGGACUUUAAAAGUGCAACAUAUAGAAGUUUCAUAGGUGUAUUUAAAAUUAGAUAGAGAAUAUUUUCUUUUUUUUAAAAUUCAAACAAUCAUAGAAGGACUAAGGUGCAAAAACUAUAACUUAAACAACGCAAAGACUAGAAAGAUAUUUGACAUAAACCUUAAAAAAGCUAAAACUUUUUAACGGAAAACACAAUAUUCCUAGAAAUUAGCUCGUGUAAUGGUGAUGAUCUUUUGAGCAAUUGAUUAAAAAAAAGAAAGAAAGAAAUCCUUCCCAUCCUAUUAAAGGAGGAUAACAAUUGUGGAGAGGGUGCCUGCUCUAUGACGAAGUAAUGGGGCGAGAGACGAGGAGGACGACAAUUGUAUAUAAUGUCAAGUUUUUGAACAUAUUGUCAGAUAAUUUGUGUAUAAAAAAAUUGUAGAUGGAAUAUUUAAUCUUAUUUGUUUGAAUCAAAGUAAGAAAAGAAUAUGGAAGUUACUUUAUAUUGCAACAAACAAAGAUUAAUUUCAACUAAAAUCUCUUUUUUUUUUAUGAGUAAAAACUCACAUGCAAGUAAAACGUAUCACGUAUAUGAUAUUUUUGAAAAAAUAAAUAUCUGAUAUUUUUGAAACUCUAAUACAUUUAAAUUUCAUUUUAUCUUUAAAAAAUUUAAUUUUUUUCUAAAAUUUUAAAAAUCAAAUACGGAUUGGAUAUCCAAUUGAUCCGAUCUACAUAAUGCAGAUAUUCGAAUAUUUGCAUCAACAGAUCCGAAUACAAAUCACGAAAUGAUUGACCCGAUUUUUGCAAGUCGGAUCAAUAUUUUGGAUCACAGGCACCCCUACUAGUAGUAGUCUAUUGAGUUGUUUGAUUCCCAAAACCAAAAAAAAAAAAAAAAAAACGAGUUUCCACCCGUGGACGCCCACCAGUGGGGCGGGGUUAGAGGAAUUAUUUGAAGACAGGGUCCAAAACUGCCCACUGCCAUCCCUAAUGCCGUCCAACCUCAUUCCCUUCAUUCCCAUUUACAGUAGUAUGUUUCUUUAGACUACAAUUCCUCCAGAGUAAAGCUUCCGUGAGAGAACCUGUUUAAUAAGGAGAUCAAGACAUGAUAUCCUUUUAUGAUCGAACCUUAAUCUUAACAACUGAAACUUAUAUGAGCAUGAAUAUCCAAUUCUCAAAAGAAUGUAAAAGAUACAGAAGCGUUCGAACAGGGAGUUUUUAGGUGCUUGUAAAACAUUUCUAAAACCAACACAACCAUCUUUUAGAGUAGUUGGCCAUCACAGGUGCAGAUCAAGGGAUCGAAACCUUGACUUGCAUUCAUCUCUAGGAUUUCCUGAAAGUUUUACAAGCGGCUGUAUUGAUCCGUAGAAGUAGAAUAGAAAAGUUACCCUGUCCACAAAAACAAAAGUGUUUUAUUUUAUGAGUUUCUUGGAUAUUUUCAAAGCCCACCUCCUUCCCUCGUCCCCUCCGCCUUCGCCACCCGGGAGGCCACCUGCACCCCACUUUUCCGUCCGUUACCUCCACCCCACCGCACCCCUUCCCCGUAUUGCAGCAACUUACAGGCCCCAUCACUCUGUGACUGUGUUUUUUGGGUGGUGUAGGCACCAUAGCGAGCCAAGAGCUGAUGGAGAAGAACAACAAUUGGCUUUCUGAGAUGCCCUUUUUGAGAUUUGAUUUCAGAGCCUCUGUGAAUUUGACAGCUUUUCUGAGACCUUAGCAAUCAAGAAAAAUGGAUAGACUACCAAGUAAUAGUACUGAUAGCACAUCUUUCCCCUGCUGAGGUCUCGGCUGAUUGCGCCGUCAUUGGAGGAUCUGUGGUUUAGGGAUUUGUCCUGGAUCUCUUUUACAUUUAUACAGACCUCUUUAAAAAAAAACAAAUAAAUGGUUAAUUGCUAUAUGCACCCUUUUGCCUAUCAACAAUUUGUACUUUACACCUUAAACUUACAAGCUUAGCUAGUUAGUACAUUACAUUGUUAAUUUACUUGUAUAUAUGGUUAGAAUCAGUUGAAAAGCUAUGAAUUUUUCUUACUAUAUAUCUUUUAAUGACAAGACAAGAUGUCCAUGGUUUGGAUAUGGUUAAUAAAUUUUUUUUAUCUGUUUAUGCAUAUGAAAACUUGUUCAUUGAAAAAAUAGCAAUUUGUUGGAGUCUAAAUGAUUUAAACUAUUUGUUACUAUUAUGUUUUGGCUGAAAUGGAGUUUAAACUAUCUAUUGUUGAAUUACACUGUAAGGUGUUUAGUGACUCAAUUGACAGUUUCGAAUUAAAAUUGUUAAUCAAUGAAAGUUUAGAAAUUCAAAUUAUAAUUAAGAAUAAGAGAAUUGUCCCACACUGAAUACAUUCAUGCACUUGAAAAUGCACAAAGUUUUUCUACCCUCAAAGUCAAGCUAGUAAAAUACUAAUAGUGAUUCAUAACACCAACUCUUAAAGAGUUUAACCCUCAAAAUCAAGCUAACAAGGUAUUAGUAGUAAUGCAUGAUACCAACUCAAUAAAAAAAAAAAAAAAAUCUCUAAUUAUUUUACAAAUCUUGAGACUCGCAAAUUUCAAUUCAAACUAAUUGAGGAUAAAAUGGUCAUUUUAUAUUUUUUUAAUUCCACGAUCUUACUUGUUUACUCUAUGCCUAGAUUCACUCCCUGCCUCCUAUUUUACAUGCACUCAAAAUACAGGCAGUAAACUGACAUCCUCGACUUGUAUGUCUGCAAGUCUUCCGAUAGUCUCCAUUAUUCGUGCGGGACAGAUGAACUCUAACACCAAGCUGGCGUUGUGCUGUGGACCAAAAAAGGCAAAAUAUAGAACAACAGUUUCAGAGGUUAAGCUCGAUAUAUAUAGUAGGUGCUUUAAUAAUGAAUUUUGUUUCUACCAACAACAUACAAGCGUAUCUAAUCCCAUCUUAGGGAAGAAAAAGUUACAAAAUUGAUCAUCGCUAUUGACUGUUAUAUCUCAAAAAUCUUCAAUACACUAAAAGCUUAUCCUACUACAAUCUCGAGAAAUCCAUGGCCAACCAAUAUUCCAUUUAGUCUCCAAGCCCAU